GUUCUUGUAGUUGAAUACAACGGUGGUUUUUCAAAUCAUUAGUCUUGGUUAAAAUCCUAGUGAGAAUU
rnacentral:tRNA from 1 species